ensembl:lncRNA
CUCGUGUUUUUAGAAGGGAGACAUGGGAGGAAGGAGUCCCGGGGGCACGUCCAGCCAAACCUAAGCUCGUUUUUAUUCUGAGGACCCUCUUGUGCAAUGUUAUCGUUUAAAGAAGAGCACGGGGCUUUUGCCUUGCCUGCUUUCUGUGGCAAACUGCUGGUACAAGCAAGUUUUCCAAGCGCGCCCGCGGCUGGAGGCCGGCUCGGAUGCGCGGUGGGCAGUGCAAGAAGGGCCGGGCAGCGGGCCCGGCGGGCAGCGGGCCCGGCGGGCAGCGGGCCCGGCGGGCAGCGGGCCCGGCGGGCAGCGGGCCCGGCGGGCAGCGGGCCCGGCGCGCAGCGCGAGGGGCACCCGAGAGACAUCUCGGCCUCUGCAGGCUUGGCCCUCAUUUUUCCGCGCAGAGGGCUGGGUCGCCGCACGAACUCCCGGGACUCAAGCCGCGUCCCGGCCCAGCCCGGGGCCGACAAGUGGAGCUGCUUCUCCCCGGGCCCGGCAGCAGGAAAGGCGGCCGGCUGCUGUCCAACGCGCACCGGCCUCGCUCAGCGCUCGGCUCCCCAGCUGCGGGGCAGCCGCUCCCCCCGCGCCUCCGGCCGCCCUGUCGGGCCCAUCUGGGUCACGUUUCCCGAGCCCGGACAGCGCUUCCCGGGUUCUCCAAGGUUCUAGCGCCCGUACCUGCCCGGCGGGAUCGGGGAGGGAAAUAAGAGAAAAGUUCCAGGACAAGUCUGAACAUCUUUACCAUGGCUUCAGCACCUCCUCAUGAAAAACAUGCUAAAACUCCACACUUGGCACCAGAUAAACAGAGCCUGUUGUUUUGUCCCAAAUCAAAGGUCCACAUUCACCGAGGAGAGAUCUCAAAGAUCAUCCGUGAAUGUAAAGAAGAGAGUUUCUGGAAAAGAGCUCUCCCUUUGUCCUUGGUAGGGAUGCUUGUUACUCAAGGACUAGUCCACAGAGGUUAUUUAGCAUCAAACCCAAGAUUUGGAUCUUUGCCAAAAGUGGCAAUUGCCGGCAUCUUGGGAUUUGGCUUGGGAAAGUUGUCAUACAUAGGAGCGUGCCAGAACAAAUUUCACACCAUAGAAUUUGAACUCCGUGGGGCAGGUUUUGGUCCAGGCCACAACAGGCACUGCCUUUACACCUGUGAAGACUGCAAAAUAAAGCAUGAAUUGAAUCAGAAGAGCGGGUCACAGGCCUCUGCUUCCUAAAGUGGUACCCGUGCCUUUGAAGCCUUCCCAGACCUUUGAAUUUCUAUGUAUUUCAUGUUUUCUUUGAACCUUCACAUAAAAUAUAUGUACCAGACUGGAAUGAUAUGUAUGCUCCUCUGUGCUUGUCAAUAUGCUUGUCUUAUACAUUUAACCAUGAUAUUAAAUCUUAAUAUAGUGAGAUUCUCAACUUAAGGAUAAAGCUUUUCAUCUGAGUAUUAUGGAGAAGAAAACAGCACUCCUGUUUUUCAGUUUAGGAUAAAGCUUUUCAUCUGAGAAUUGUGGGUUUUCUGCUAUUUUAAAAGCAUGUUGGAUCAGAGUUUAUAAGAGAAGUAAGAUCUUCUCAAGUCUUCCUCAAGUAAUGUUAUCUGACUUCUCUCUAUUGCUCCAGUACUCUGUUGAAUGGGGAAAAUGAGAUAUAAUUAUGUAAAGAAAUGUACUGGGGCUGGGGUGCUAAUAUGGCAGCAGAAGGAAAAGGGCGGGAGGUGCCUUCUAAAAUUUGAGAGCCUGAAUUUUUUUAUGCAAACCAAUGUUUGGAAAAUUAGAGUAUGAAUACUCUAAUUUUGGACUCUGGAGAUGAUUUCAUGGCAAGAUACGAAGGUGAUGCUUUAUAAGUGACUUCUGCCCUUCCUGACUUGAAUUUUUGAAAAUGUUUGUUCUCUUUAAGUAACCUUCAAUGACUUUAUAUCCUAUCCAGCACUUGAGCAGUUAUCUAGCUUAGGAAACUAUUAUUUCAUUGCGCUGCUAAUGGACUGAAUUAGAAAUAAUUUGCAAAAAUAUUUAACAUAUUUCCAAGGAAGUAGUCGAGGUUCUGGGAGAAAUAGUGAAAGAAUCACUUCCUUCCUCCGAGCAUCUUUAGACUUCACAGCUGGUUUCUGGGAGGUAUUUUAGCUUAUGGCCCAGGGCUUUUUGGCUGUGAAAGGUUAAGUUUUUCAUGUUAGUAUCUGUUUUCAUGUCAUAAUGUAUCUUGAAAUCUUGACCACAAAAACAGAAAAACUUUAUUCAGCUUUAAAGAUCUCUUUAAUAGGUAUUUUAGAAAAGAGGAAAAAAUGUCGAAAAGAUAUUUUAAAAAAUUCAAGCAUCUUUAGAUUGUAACCUGUUUUUCAAUAAAUAAAGCUCUCUAAAUCAGAACAUGAAGCUAAUCUCUCUUUCUUGCUUCUUGGAUGCCAUUUAGGACUUGGCAGUGAUAACUUGCAUAGUGAGUCAGUGGCAACUGACAACUCUAUCUCUGGGCUGUUGGCACAGCACAGAGUGUAGAACACAAUGUGGAACUGGGCAGAUUUUGUCUCCUGCUCCAUAGAAAAUAAGCACACAGGUGCCAGAAAAAUUUAACACUGUUAAAUAGCACCUCCAAGUCAUGGGGCUAAAAUUGGAAUCGGGGCAUGUGGGGCACCAGGCAGAUGAGACCAUUGGAAAAAGUAUCCCUUGCUAAAGAGAUGUGACAUCUUAAUAGCUCUUCUCAAUCAAAUUCAACUCUAUUUUUGAACUGCCCUCUGUCCCUACAUAGCCAUGGUAUUAAAGUAAAUCUGCUACAGUGAUUAGUUCUAGCAUGGGGCUUCUUAAUAUAGGAUCUGUAGACUCGCCUGGAAUUCUGGCAGAUUUCAGGGAAUCUGUGCAAUUUUAUGGAGGGGGGGGAAAUCACAUUUUUAUUUUUACUAACUUCUAGGUGAAAUUUAGUGUCUUUUUCAGUUAUUUAAAUUUACCUUAUUUCUAAGUUAC